GAACUUUGAUCAUCAAUCUUUCAAUAAGAACUCAAGCCAUCAUAGAAAGGGCUCAUCUUUGGACAGCAUCAUGUCUGAUGUUCUCCGUGCCUCACUAGAUGAAAUUGCACUCUCUGCUGAAUCAAUCGGGAAAUCUAGCAAUACCAUUGCUCUGGUACCUCCUCCUCCUGGAAGGGUUGAUAGCAUGCUUCCUUUGAAGCCUCCUCCUGGAAGGGUUGAUAGCAUGCUUCCUUUGAAGCCUCCUCCUGGAAGGGUUGAUAGUAUGCUCCCUUUGAAGCCUCCCCAUGGAAGGGCAGUCCCCCUUCCUCCUGAACCACCUGCUUCUCUCAGGCCUCUUCCCAGCAAGGCUGGUCCCCCUCCCCCUCCUCCACCACCUCAUGCACCGCCGUCUCCUCCUGCAAGAGCUUCAGGCAGUGUG
rnacentral:misc_RNA from 1 species